UACGUAGGUGGCAAGCGUUGUCCGGAUUUACUGGGCGUAAAGCGCGCGCAGGCGGUUUGGAAAGUCUGUGGCGAAAUCUCUCGGCUCAACCGAGAGGGGUCUGCAGAUACUCCCGGACUUGAGUGCCGUAGACGAAGAUGGAAUUCCGGGUGUAGUGGUGAAAUGCGUAGAUAUCAGGAGGAACAUCUGUGGCGAAGGCGGCUAUCUGGCUCACUUCUGACGCUGAGACGCGAAAGCGUGGGGAGCAAACAGG
rnacentral:rRNA from 1 species